GCGGAACGGGUGAGUAACACGUGGGUAACCUGCCUGUAAGACUGGGAUAACUUCGGGAAACCGGAGCUAAUACCGGAUAGUUUUCUUUUCUCGCAUGAGGGAAGAUGGAAAGAUGGUUUCGGCUAUCACUUACAGAUGGACCCGCGGCGCAUUAGCUAGUUGGUGAGGUAACGGCUCACCAAGGCCACGAUGCGUAGCCGACCUGAGAGGGUGAUCGGCCACACUGGGACUGAGACACGGCCCAGACUCCUACGGGAGGCAGCAGUAGGGAAUCUUCCGCAAUGGACGAAAGUCUGACGGAGCAACGCCGCGUGAACGAAGAAGGCCUUCGGGUCGUAAAGUUCUGUUGUUAGGGAAGAACAAGUACGAGAGUAACUGCUCGUACCUUGACGGUACCUAACCAGAAAGCCACGGCUAACUACGUGCCAGCAGCCGCGGUAAUACGUAGGUGGCAAGCGUUGUCCGGAAUUAUUGGGCGUAAAGCGCGCGCAGGCGGUCCUUUAAGUCUGAUGUGAAAGCCCACGGCUCAACCGUGGAGGGUCAUUGGAAAC
rnacentral:rRNA from 1 species